AGCCAGUGCCAAGUACUUCCAAGCUCCUGACAACACCUGCCAGACAGAGCAGGAGGAAGAGCGAGUUGUCUUCCCUGUCCCUCUCCCUUCCCAGUCUCCAGAGCUGUCUUCUUGGACUGAACUCUGGCUCUGCAAACUGGCCAGUGUUAGCCGCCUGGUGGAGGCUGUUUGCAACCAGCUCUGCGUCUUCACCCGGUGGCCACGUGGUCCAGAGGGACCGUGAGGACUCGCUGGUCAUUCAGUCUCCAGGAUUAUGUGGCCAUCAGAGAGGCAGUGCUGGCCGGCCCCAGGUUGAUGGCUCAGACCAACAUCCAGCUCUUUGAAUUAAAAGUCUCAACAUGUUGUUGAUGGACGACAGUAACAACAUGUGAAGAGCAGAAUGUGUUCAGCUCCAGCACAGUCACCACCUUCACAGGUGAAAUUAUUGACCAGUUUAACAUGAAAACGGUUCAGCAGGAAACAGAUGGAACUGACCCACCAGAACUGCAACCUGGAGCAGAACCAGACUCUUCAUAGAUGUGAUGCUGUGACCUCAGAGACGGAUGUGUUCACCUCACACACUCUUUAGUGUGAACUGAACACUGACAGUUCAGAUUGUGAAGCAGGUGUCAGUGUAGUACAGCUCA